AAGAACAUGAAAUAAAACUAUUUUAUAAGGAAAUAAAUCUUGAAAAAAAAAGGUUUCCAACCAAGAACAAAAUUAUGCAAAGACAAAAAUGGGGACUUAAUAGCAGACGAAAAA
rnacentral:lncRNA from 1 species